GGCCGCGUGGCCUAAUGGUUAAGGCAUCAGACUUCGAAUCUGAGGAUUGCGAGUUCAAGUCUCGUCGUGGUCG